UCUCAGAGCAACUGAUAAGCUGUAGAAUGAUAAGCUGUUAGGCGUAUCCCAGUGCUUUAAAAUAUUGGUUUUUGUUUAUGUUUUUGUUUUUCCUUAAAUCAAGAUUCAAACAUAUCACCUUGCAGACUGUAGCCUCACUGGUCAUCUGUCACAUCCCAAGAUUCAAACGGAUUUAAUCAUUUCACAGUUGCCCAGUGACCACAUUGCUAUUCACUGUGGUAAUGUGCCUCAUUCAGUGUUUGAACCCGAAUCUGCUCGUGAAGAUACAAGACGGAGGCUUUUUUUCUUUUUUCUUUUAGAGAGCGAGAGAGGAAAAAAACCACAGGUGAGCAGGGGAGAGGCAGAGAGGGAGAGAGAAUCCCAAGUAGGAUCCGCACUGUCAGUGCAGAGCCCGAUGCGGGGCUCGAUCAUCCUACGACCCGGGGAUCAUGAUCUGAGCCCAAACCAGGAGUCAGAUGGUCAACCAACUGAGCCACUCAGGUGCCCCCAAAAUGGAGGUUUUCUGCCUUAGGGCCACCCAGUUGAAAUCAUACAGUUUUCAUUCCUUAUGUAUAGUAAAAAUCUGUAUGCACUUUAUUCGGUAACCUGCGUUUGCCACAGGUUCCUGAGCCAGGGGAUACAAUGAGACCCCACAGAUAGGACUUGGGGUCAUAAACUAGUACCCCCCGGAGGUGCACAGUGCCCCAGACCAUGUCCUUCCAAAGUCCCAAUUCCCUGUUUCUAGGGGUUUCCUGGGCUGUUUCACAGGGGAUCUAGGGGGUUCCUGGGUGUCUGUUUCACAGCAGAUCUAGGGGGUUCGUGGGUGUUUCACAGCCGAUCUAGGGGGUUCCUGGGGUGUCUCACAGUGGGUCCAGAGCAGUCCUUUGUGCCCUUCCCCUGACCCUCCGCUUCGUUGUAAUCAUGUCAGUACCUGCAAUGUUAUAAAGCUCUGCCUGCAGCAGGGUCCCGGACCCUGGGAGCCUCUGUCUUUGCACAAGGCGCCAUCUCCCCACCUGUGCCGCACUCCCUGGGGCCUGGGGGCCACAACCAGGCUGAAUUCCAAGCCCAAGUGGGGUGAUAGCCCCUGUCAUCUCUACUCCAACACGAGUCCAGGCCCACCCCGGGAGCUACUUGGCAUUUAGAACAACGUCUGCAAAUAAUAAAGAGCACAUGAGAUUUAGAAUGCUUUUUCA
rnacentral:lncRNA from 1 species